rnacentral:lncRNA from 1 species
ACACGGGGAGGCGGCUGAGGCCCAGCAAGAAUUCAAGCUCCGCGGGGGCAGGCCAGCAGUGCUGGGGGACCCGGCGCACCCUCCGCAGCUGCUGGCCCGGGUGCUAAACCCCUCACUGCCCGGGCCGGCGGUGCCGGCGGGCUGCUCUCAGUGCGGGACCUCGGAGCCUGCGCCCACCCGGAACUAGCCGCGUUCAGCCCUGGUUCCCGCCCCCGCCUCUCCCGCCACACCUCUCCACAAGCAGAGGGAGCUGGCUUCAGCCUCAGCCAGCACAGAGAGGGGCCCCCAUAGCGCAGUGGCGGGCUGAAGGGCUCCUUGAGCAUGGCCAGAGUGGACGCCAAGGCUGAGGAGGCGCCGAGAGCCAGUGAGGGCUGCUAGCAUGUUGUCACCUCUCAAUACAUAAAACUACUGGAGGGUGGUUCCAAGAUGGCCAAAUAGGAACAGCUCCAGUCUACAGCUCCCAGCAUGAGUGAUGCAGAAGACGAAUGAUUUCUGCAUUUCCAACUCAGUUCACAGAUCUUCAACUCCAGAGAACUGAGUUUAAGGAGCUGUACCUGGGAAAUUGUGCCUGAAGCUGUUCCUGAGGAAUCUGCACCUGGAUCUAAUGUACAUGCUGAGAUCCUGGAUUUGAGCUGAUGCCAUAGUGGGAUGAGACUUUGCCGUCUUGGGUGUGGGAUGAAUAUAUUUUGCACUGGGAAGGAUGUGAAGUAUUGUGGUUAAAAGGUGGACUGUAGUUCAUUGCAUUUUUCAACAAUGGCCACAACAGCAUCUCUUAUCCUAUGUGCUCUUCUUCCAAUGUGACUGUGUCCUCUCUCAUUAAGAUGCGGAGUCUAUUUCUCCACUCUCUCAAAUCUGGUGGACCCUGGGACUUCUACCAACAGAGUACAGUGGAAAUGAUGCUGGGCCACUUCCCGGUUUGGUCUUUAACUAGUCUGGCAGCUUCUCCUUUCUGCUUCUUGGAAGCCAGUAAGAAGUACAACUAUCCUGAGGCUUCUGCUGUGAGAAGCCCAAGCCAUGGGAGAGGCUCUGGAGAAUGAGACUUCACUGGGAGAGUGAAGAGAGGAGCGAAGAGAAAGAGAGAGGCACCAAGGAUCACUGAGUUGCCAGAACAUGAAUGCUAAGGCCAUAUUGGAAAUGGAUUCUCCUGCUUCAGCUGCCCCAGCUGAUGCCACCAGGAUCAGAGAUGAUCUGGCCAGCUGAGCCCUUCCUUAAUUCUAACCCAUAAAAUUGUGUGCGAAACAAAAUGGUUGUUUUCAACCACUAAGUUUUGGGGUAGGUUUUAUGCAGCAGCAGAUAAUGGAAAUACUGCUUGGUUUUGACUUUCAAAAAAAUCCAUUUGUUUUCAGGCUUGUCUGCACUCCUUCUUUAAGAGGUGCUAAGAGACUGGACUUAGUUCUUUGUCCAGAUAAAUGUGUUUUUCCCACUGCUAGCUUAGGUUUUAUUUUUUUCACGUCUGCUAAGUCAGUAGUCCAUUUGCUUUUCAGCUUCCAAAACUUAAUUAUUCUAAUUUUCCUUAUUGUUCUCUUCCUUGUGGAUUUAUGCAUUUUAUUUGCUCCUUUCUGUAAUUUUUGUGGUAUUUGGCAAACAGUGAAGGUAAAUAUACACAUUCAAUCUGCCACAUUUAACUGAAUGUCCCCUAUGCCUUUUAUUGACUGCUUAGAAUGGCAAUGGUAAUUUUGGCCUCUAGGCACAGAGAAAUAAGAGUUUUUUUGUGAGUCACAUUGGCCCAGAGCUCCUCCACUCCUCCACAAAAGGUGAGAACUUUGUAGGGCUGACUCAGAGAUCAAGGCUGAUUCUGAUUCUGGCUGGAACAUUCCUUGGGGGUGUGAUUACUAUGGGGACAUAGUAGGCGCUACAGCUGGCUCUGGGAAGUAGACUCUGGGUUGCCAAAAAUGGACAUACACACACACACUCUCUCUCUCUCUCUUCUUCUCUUUCUGUCCCUCUCCCUCUCUCCAUUAUAUGGUCACAUUUGGGUAAGUUAAUGAAGAUUCUUGAAGAAGAAAGCAGUAUGGUGAGGCUUUCUAGUGUCAAGGUCACUUGACAUUCAAUUGUGAGCUCACUAGAAGAGAGGGAGACAUGACAUAUUAAAUGUUACCAUGGAAAAGAAAAAGUCACUCCCAAUUAAAAGGAUUGAAAAAGGAGAACCAAAGUAAAAUAGGAUUUUGUAGGUCAAUGAAAAAGCCGAAAACAAAAGCUCUGU